UACGUAGGGUGUGAGCGUUGUCCGGAAUUAUUGGGCGUAAAGGGCUCGUAGGCGGUCUGUCGCGUCGGUAGUGAAAACUCAGGGCUUAACCCUGAGCCUGCUUCCGAUACGGGCAGACUAGAGGUAUGCAGGGGAGAAUGGAAUUCCUGGUGUAGCGGUGAAAUGCGCAGAUAUCAGGAGGAACACCAGUGGCGAAGGCGGUUCUCUGGGCAUUACCUGACGCUGAGGAGCGAAAGUGUGGGGAGCGAACAGG
rnacentral:rRNA from 1 species